rnacentral:rRNA from 1 species
CAGCAGCCGCGGUAAUACGAAGGGUGCAAGCGUUACUCGGAAUUACUGGGCGUAAAGCGUGCGUAGGUGGUUGUUUAAGUCUGCUGUGAAAGCCCUGGGCUCAACCUGGGAAUUGCAGUGGAUACUGGGCGACUAGAGUAAGGUAGAGGAUAGUGGAAUUUCCGGUGUAGCAGUGAAAUGCGUAGAGAUCGGAAGGAACAUCUGUGGCGAAGGCGACUAUCUGGGCCAUUACUGACACUGAGGCACGAAAGCGUGGGGAGCAAACAGGAUUAGAUACCCCGGUAGUCCCUGUCUCUAUACA